rnacentral:rRNA from 1 species
UGGGUAACCUGCCUCAAAGAGGGGAAUAGCCUCCCGAAAGGGAGAUUAAUACCGCAUAAUAUGUUUAAGUCGCAUGACUUUAACAUCAAAGGAUUUUCUUUUAGAAAUUCCACUUUGAGAUGGACCCGCGGUGCAUUAGCUAGUUGGUGAGGUAACGGCUCACCAAGGCGACGACGGGUAGCUGGUCUGAGAGGAUGGCCAGCCACAUUGGGACUGAGACACGGCCCAGACUCCUAGGAGG